rnacentral:misc_RNA from 1 species
GAAAUGCGAUAAGUAAUGUGAAUUGCAGAAUUCAGUGAAUCAUCGAAUCUUUGAACGCACAUUGCGCCCGCCAGUAUUCUGGCGGGCAUGCCUGUUCGAGCGUCAUUACAACCCUCAGGCCCCCGGGCCUGGCGUUUGGGAUCGGCGGAAGCCCCCUGCGGGCACAACGCCGUCCCCCAAAUACAGUGGCGGUCCCGCCGCAGCUUCCAUUGCGUAGUAGCUAACACCUCGCAACUGGAGAGCGGCGCGGCCACGCCGUAAAACACCCAACUUCUGAAUGUUGACCUCGAAUCAGGUAGGAAUACCCGCUGAACUUAAGC